rnacentral:tRNA from 1 species
AAAAUGCCGUCGACUUUAGAAAUCGUGAGGGUUCAGGCCCUCUAUCCCCA